rnacentral:piRNA from 1 species
UAAUUAUUAGGUGUGCCCAGGAUAUACUGGA